AAACGACUCUCGGCAACGGAUAUCUCGGCUCACGCAUCGAUGAAGAACGUAGCAAAAUGCGAUACUUGGUGUGAAUUGCAGAAUCCCGUGAACCAUCGAGUUUUUGAACGCAAGUUGCGCCCGAAGCCAUUCGGCCGAGGGCACGYCUGCCUGGGCGUCACGCA
rnacentral:rRNA from 1 species